GGGCCCUGCUCAGUGAGGUUACAUGUUAGAGGGAGUGGGGUAUAGUGACAGUAACAGAGGGAUUGAGGGCCUGCUCAGUGAGUUUACAUGUUAGAGGGAGUGGGGUAUAGUGACACAGUAACAGAGGGAUUGAGGGCCCUGCUCAGUGAGCUUACAUGUUAGAGGGAGUGGGGUAUAAUGACAGUAACAGAGGGAUUGAGGGCCUGCUCAGUGAGCUUACAUGUUAGAGGGAGUGGGGUAUAGUGACAC